GACGAACGCUGGCGGCGUGCUUAACACAUGCAAGUCGAACGGAAAGGCCCUGCUUUUGUGGGGUGCUCGAGUGGCGAACGGGUGAGUAACACGUGAGUAACCUGCCCUUGACUUUGGGAUAACUUCAGGAAACUGGGGCUAAUACCGGAUAGGAGCUCCUGCUGCAUGGUGGGGGUUGGAAAGUUUCGGCGGUUGGGGAUGGACUCGCGGCUUAUCAGCUUGUUGGUGGGGUAGUGGCUUACCAAGGCUUUGACGGGUAGCCGGCCUGAGAGGGUGACCGGCCACAUGGGGACGGAGAUACGGCCCAGACUCCUACGGGAGGCAGCAGUGGGGAAUAUUGCACAAUGGGCGGAAGCCUGAUGCAGCAACGCCGCGUGCGGGAUGACGGCCUUCGGGUUGUAAACCGCUUUCGCCUGUGACGAAGCGUGAGUGACGGGAAUGGGUAAAGAAGCACCGGCUAACUACGU
rnacentral:rRNA from 1 species